CAGGGUUUUGGAGCCAGGAAGGGUCCUCAGACACACACACCCAGCAUUUCACAUUCGGUAAGUGAUGCGUGUUCAUCUCAUCUGAUUAAUUCCCUUAUUCUACAGGUAGAGAAACUGAGGUGAAGAGGCCACAGGACUGUCCCCAAACCACAGAGUCAGCAGUGACGGAGGUCACCGCCCAGUGCACAGCUGAGAUUCCAGCCCAGGCUCGGGAGAGCAGAAGCUGAGCUUCCUAAGGCCUGGUCUCCCACGUGGCCGGCGGGAGGGCCCCUCCAGAAGGGUUUCCAGAGAGGCCACUACUGUUGUCUGGAUUGAUAGUGAGUUGCCCACAUCCCGUAAGCCCCUCCCUGCCAGGCCUGAGCCCGCAGCCCGGCUGCAGGCAGGGAGCGAGGCUGGGCGCUAAUUUACACUUGUUUAACUACAGCUGCCGCCUCCCGCCAUGUGUCUGGCCGCCAUUUAUUGCGCUUUCCGAAGCCCUGCCCGGCACUCAGGGGCAUUUCCUGCCUGCGCUAAUGGAGGAGAAUAGACGCAUUAUAUGUGAAUAAUGGAUUAUGAUGAUACAAUUUGGGUCUCUUAGCUCUCACCAAGCCUAGGCUAGCCUUGCAUUAUUAAUAACUUACACACACCUUCCCGAGCGUGUUUAUGUAAAUAUUUAAUAGGGAAAGCAAGUUAACCCAUUGGUUCCAGCCCUUUCCAGAGCGUCAGAAGUAAAGGCUGUGAGGGUGACGGGGGUGGGGCCCCCAGCAGGCGUCAGGGCCCUUUGGAAAGCCGGCACCUUCCCGAGAUGCUGGCUUGGUCACAGGGAGUUUAUGGCCUCGAGGUUUGUGGCUCUCGGGGCCAAGAGAAAAGGGUAGGUCUGCCUCACCACGGGAGACCACUGCUCUGCCGGCACAGGCAGAACACAGCGAGGGUGUUGGGGACGAGGGUGCUGAUGACUGACAUGCAGCGGGGUGGGUGUCACCCUGAAUAAAUAGAACCAUUGCUGCCCGUCUUACAUGGCUGAUUUCCUGCACUUUCACGCGGCUUCCACGUUUCACACUCCAUUUCAUGCCGGAAGGCAACACUUCAGAGACUGCCUGGCUUUCACCCGGGCUCCACUACUUAGCGGCUGGAUGGCAGGUUAAUCUCUGUGCACACCGGUUGUCACAUCUGUAAAAUGGGGAACUAAUGCACUUGUCUCAUAGGUACUCAUCGCUGAGUGCAAGACUUCGGUGAGAUAAUCUAUCUAAAGCGGCUUUACAGUCCCAGCACGUGGGAAGGGCUCAACACCUUGCAGUCAUAUAGCAGGGAUGUGAAGCUGCGCGUGUUCUCGCACGGGUCUUACUGCCAGGGCAUACGUUCACUGACAGCGUUUCUCAGUAGUAUGGAAAAUAGUCGUGCAUCCUGGACUCAAUGGAAUACAGCUGUUAUUUUGCUAAAAUUGUGUUUCUGGCAAUUAAACAACUUUGCCCCCUCUGGGAAGUCAUAAGAGUGGGCAUGUGCCCCAUCUGCUUGGGCUGAAGGGGGAGGACCAGGCAGGACCAGGAGACCUGAGCUGGCCUCCCUCCGCGCCCCUCCACCAGCACUCCCGCCCUGGGCGCCUGCCCUCUCAGCCUAUGUCCCUGUAUCCCUCUCCCAGGUUGCCACUGACAACCUGCCAUUCUCAGAGCCAACCUCCCUGAGCUGCCAAGACUUCGCAGGGGCUGGCUUCCCCACCUGAAUGCCCUCUGCUCCUCCUCCUCCCCCGGGAAACCCUGACGGAUUCAGGACAUGGUUCAGUCUUCACCUCCUUCUUCCAGCCUUCUCUGCCUCUUGACUGAUCUCAUCUUAAAAUCAAAAUGGCCAGUUUGUUCUUCUGUCUUCUCACCAGACCUGCAGGCCCACGGGCCCGGGGAACGGGCACUGACUCUGUAUGCCCAACACCUCCUUGCACAGGCCCGGUGUAAGGGCUGUGGGAAUACUGCAGUGCACACCACGGACAACGGUCGGUGCCCUUGGGCCUCCUACGCUAGAGGGAGGGGACAGACGAGACAUGGGAGCCAUUGGAGGAUUCUGUGCAGAGGGGUGACCACGUCUGACGUGUGUUGAAGGGUCAUUCUGGCAGCUGUGUGGCGCAUUACUACCGGGACAAGUACUGCGGCAGAGACACCAAUUAGGGGCUGCUGCAAGAAUCCAGACACUUCACAUAUGGUUUUUCCUUUGAUCCUGAGAUUUAGGAAUUCUCAUGCCCAUUCUGCAGGCAAGGAAACUGAGGCUGAGAAAGGUAAAGUUGUUUGACCAAUGUUCCAUGGCUAGUUAUUGCACAGCAGCAAUAAACCCAAGCUUCAAGUCAGCCUGGUUAACAUUUAUUGACCAUCUACUGAGAACUGGGUGCUCUUAAUAGAUAUCAUUUUAUUUUAUACUCUCGACACCCAUGCAAAAUGGAUGUCAUUUCCACCCAUUUUACAGAUGAGAAAACAGGCUUAGAGUCUUAUUAAGUGACCUACCUGGAAGUUACCCAAGGAGGAAAUGGGUGGCAGAGAUUUGAAUCCUGUUCUCCUGCCCUCAUUUUAAAGACCUGGGAUUCUCCCGAGCCUGAAUUUGGAGAAGGGAAUAGGGUUGUAGGAUUAACUGUGAAUUCUAGGCUUGAAAUGCCAGGCUUCUUCCAGAGGCCAGAUGUCGGGCUGGGGCCACGAGGCCCUCUGCUGCGUCCUAGGCUGGGAGCAGGGAGGGAGAGGACUCUGCCACCAAAGCCCAGGCUGGGCGCUCCCAGGGAGUCCCCUUCUCCCCCGCCUGCCCAGCAUCUGCCCUCCACCAGCUCCUGCCUGGCUGCCAGAUGUACCAGCUGUGGCUCCCCUCCAUGGAGAGCCUCAUUUAUUAAUUAAUGUGGACGCCAAGGGGGCAACUUCUCAGGCCCAGCCUCAGAGCAGAUCUUGGCACAUUUUUCAGACUUUGUUUAAUAAUUUAUCAUCUUUUAAUCAUAAAAAUAAUUAGCACAAGAGCAAUAAUCUGUGCUCUGCCGAGAGCAGACCAGCAGAGGAGUUUUCAGACGGUGCCAGAGCCCAGAGAGCUGAGCUUUGGCAGAGAGGAGGGGAAGGCUGGCUGGCAGCCAGGUGUCCUCUCCAGGGCUGGCCUCUGGGAGUCAGGUGUCGGAGAUACCGCCUGGCUUGGCCGGGGACGUGAGGACCACGCUGCUUUCCUGGGAAAUGGAAGCUCCUGCCCCUGUCUGACCUGACUCACUGGAUAACCCUCUGGGAAGUUCCCUCCUUCACUGGGUCUUAAUUUUCCCAUCUGUAAAAUGGGAGUUCAACUAGAUAAUGCCUAAGGACCCUUUUGUUCAAGGUGCCAUGACCCGAGGAGGUAGCAAAUGUAGAUGCAGUGGUUUGUGACAGUGAAGAGAGGGAGCUGGAGUGUCCACAAGAGCCGAGAAGCCUCCCAUGGUCCUCCGCAGAAGCGUGUGCCAUCUCCUCUGCUCCCCAGAUUCGCACAGAGCCCUGGGAUGAGACUCGGUUCUGCCAAGUCUAAGCUGUGUGGCCUAGAGCAAGACCCGCCGCUCUCUGAGCCUCAGUGUACCCAUCUGAAAAGUGGGAGUGAUCAUUUAUGCCUGCAGGUCUCCCAGAGAAGAUCCAAGGAAGAGUAGGACACGGCUGCCCCUUGGAGACAUUGGUCCCGUUCUGUCCCGGAUUUAAGUGCCCCUCCCUGCCCAGACUGGAGGGUGGGACAGGACUGCCUCAUCCUCUGUGACAGCCCCCAAUGUUCUGUCAAUUCCAGGGACCUGUCUUGAGGUUGUGCAACCUGUGCAGGCGGACACAGCCUCCCCCAGGGUGACAGCAGAGUCAGGUGGCUCUGGACAAGACCGCAGCAGUCCAAGAAGUUGAUUCCGCCUUCAGGUCUUGUGCAAGCUGCUGAGCCUCCAGCUGCCUCAGUCUCUUCAUGUGUAAAUGACAAUACCUGCCUUAGGUUGGGGUCCCUAGAAGCAGACCCUGAGACAAGAAUUCGAGAGCAAGUCAUUUAUCUGAGAAGACAUCCUGGAAACUCCAGGAGGGAGUAGAGGGGUGAGACGGGGAUGGCGAGGAAAGAGGUGGGUCAGUGAGCCAGUGACCCCUUUAGAAAACCAGGCGGUGCCCAGUUCUGCCGGGGCCAUCUCAGGGGUUGGCAAACUACAGCCCACAGGCCCCAUCGGGCCUGCCUCCUGACUUUGCAAAUAAAGUUU